rnacentral:misc_RNA from 1 species
UGGUGAACCAGCGGAGGGAUCAUUACAGAGUUGCAAAACUCCCUAAACCAUUGUGAACGUUACCUAAACCGUUGCUUCGGCGGGCGGCCCGGGUCCUUCCCGGCGCCCCCCGGCCCUCGCGGGCGCCCGCCGGAGGUAAACCAAACUAUUGCAUUAAUGGCCUCUCUGAGUCUUCGGUACUGAAUAAGUCAAAACUUUCAACAACGGAUCUCUUGGUUCUGG